rnacentral:rRNA from 1 species
GAUGAACGCUAGCGGCAGGCCUAACACAUGCAAGUCGAGGGGCAUCAUGGCGUAGCAAUACGCUGAUGGCGACCGGCGCACGGGUGCGUAACGCGUAUGGAACCUACCCACCGCAGGGGGAUAACCCGCCGAAAGGCGGACUAAUACCCCAUGGUUCCCCGACCCUGCCUGGGGUUGGGGGUAAAGCCUACGGGCGGCGGUGGAUGGCCCUGCGUGCCAUUAGCUGGCUGGUGGGGUAACGGCCCACCAGGGCGACGAUGGCUAGGGGGUCUGAGAGGACGAUCCCCCACACUGGUACUGAGACACGGACCAGACUCCUACGGGAGGCAGCAGUAAGGAAUAUUGGUCAAUGGGCGCAAGCCUGAACCAGCCAUGCCGCGUGCAGGAAGACGGCCCUAUGGGUUGUAAACUGCUUUUGUCAGGGAAUAAACCUAUCUACGUGUAGAUAGCUGAAGGUACCUGAAGAAUAAGCAUCGGCUAACUCCGUGCCAGCAGCCGCGGUAAACU